rnacentral:rRNA from 1 species
UAAUACGAAGGGGGCUAGCGUUGUUCGGAAUCACUGGGCGUAAAGCGCAUGCAGGCGGACUGAUAAGUCAGGGGUGAAAGCCCGAGGCUCAACCUCGGAACUGCCUUUGAUACUGUCAGUCUUGAGUCCGGGAGAGGUGAGUGGAACUCCGAGUGUAGAGGUGAAAUUCGUAGAUAUUCGGAAGAACACCAGUGGCGAAGGCGGCUCACUGGCCCGGUACUGACGCUGAGAUGCGAAAGCGUGGGGAGCAAACAGG